rnacentral:tRNA from 1 species
GGGGUUGUGGCUCAGAGGCAGAGAGCAUGCCCAACAUGCGCGAUGCCCUGGGUUUGAUCCUCAGCACCCCA